rnacentral:lncRNA from 1 species
AUGCGCAGAGGUUGGUCAGAGAAAAACAACGGGGAGGGGCAGGUUCAGCCGGAGUCUGCAGGGGGCCGAGCGCCACGGCCUGAGGCACGGUUCUGUCAGGCCUCCCAGGCGUUCUCCAGCCUCUCCCGGGCCUUCUCCAGCCUCCCGGGUGUUCUCCAGGCCUCUCCCGGGCGUUCUCCAGGCCUCUCCGGCGUUCUACAGCCUCCCGGGUGUUCUUCAGCCUCCCGGGCGUUCUCCAGGCCUCUCCCCGGCGUUCUGCAGCCUUUCCCGGGCGUUCUCCAGGCCUCCAGGGCAUUCUCCAGCCUCUCGGGUGUUCACCAGGCCUCUCCCGGGCGUUCUCCAGGCCUCUCCGGCGUUCUACAGCCUCCCGGGUGUUCUUCAGCCUCCCGGGCGUUCUCCAGGCCUCUCCCCGGCGUUCUGCAGCCUUUCCCGGGCGUUCUCCAGGCCUCUCCCCGGCGUUCUGCAGCCUUUCCCGGGUGUUCUCCAGGCCUUUCCCGGGUGUUCUCCAGCCUCUCCUGCGUUCUCCCGUCCCAGGCAGCAGGGGAAACUCCAUUAUUAAUGAUUGGAGAUGUAUUUAAUUCAUCGGAACUUGAGAGAAUAGAAGACCAGCUGUCACUAUCAUUUUGGAAGAAAAGGAAGGAAGGAACAAUUGAUCCUAGGCAGCAGAGAGAAACAGCAGGCCAAGGAACAUCAAGUUUGCUAGAGGACAGGAACAGAUGA